rnacentral:rRNA from 1 species
GUUAGUGGCGUAAGGGUGAGGAAUGAAUAGGUAACGUACCCCGAACUUCGGGAUAGCGUCUGAUGCUUCGGCAUCUUGCGAAAGCGGCGGUAAUACCGAAUAAUAUCGUAUAACUUAAGUUGUAUGAUCAAAGAUUUAUCGGUUUGGGAGCGGCCUAUUUCCUAUCAGCUUGUUGGUGAGGUAAUGGCUCACCAAGGCAUCGACGGGUAGCGGGACUGAGAGGUUGACCCGCCACAUUGGGACUGAGACACUGCCCAGACCCCCACGGGGGGCUGCAGUAACGAAUAUUGUGCAAUGGGCGAAAGCCUGACACAGCGACGCCGCGUGUAGGAUGAAGCUUCUCGGAGUGUAAACUACUGUCAGGGGUUAGAAAGUGCGCUUCGGCGUAUUGAUCAGCCCCAGAGGAAGUCACGGCUAACUUCGUGCCAGCAGCCGCGGUAAUACGAAGGUGGCGAGCGUUGUUCGGAAUCACUGGGCUUAAAGCGCGCGUAGGCGGAAUAGAUAGUGUCUUGUGAAAGCCCCCGGCUUAACCGGGGAAUUGCGAGGCAUACUGCUAUUCUUGAGGCAAGUAGGGGUACAUGGAACUCUUGGUGGAGCGGUGGAAUGCGUAGAUAUCAAGAGGAACGCCAAAGGUGAAGACAGUGUACUGGGCUUGUCCUGACGCUGAGGUGCGAAAGCGUGGGGAGCGAAAGGGAUUAGAUACCCCUGUAGUCCACGCUGUAAACGAUGUCUACUAGGUUGCGGGUGUUCUGACACAGUCGCAGUCGAAGCAAAAGUGUUAAGUAGACCGCCUGGGGAGUACGGUCGCAAGGCUAAAACUCAAAGGAAUUGACGGGGGCUCACACAAGCGGUGGAGCAUGUGGAUUAAUUCGAAGCAACGCGCAGAACCUUACCUGGGUUUGACAUGUUUGGAUGGCUCGCCGGAAACGGAUGAGUCUACCUUCGGGUGAAACUUACACAGGUGCUGCAUGGCUGUCGUCAGCUCGUGUCGUGAGAUGUCGGGUUAAGUCCUUUAACGAGCGAAACCCUUGCCGUUAGUUGCCAGCGAGUAAUGUCGGGGACUCUAGCGGGACUGCCGGUGUUAAACCGGAGGAAGGUGGGGAUGACGUCAAGUCCUCAUGGCCUUUAUGCCCAGGGCUUCACACGUGCUACAAUGGUCACUACAGAGCGACGCGAGACCGCGAGGUGGAGCAAAUCCCAGAAAGCCGGCCCCAGUUCGGAUUGCAGGCUGAAACUCGCCUGCAUGAAGUUGGAAUCGCUAGUAAUCGUGGGUCAGCAAUACCACGGUGAAUACGUUCCCGGGCCUUGUACACACCGCCCGUCACACCACGAAAGUUAGUUGUACCAGAAGUCGUUGGGCUAACCC